UCUUCUUUAUUUCUUUUCACGCUAUGGUGUUUUUUGGGGUUCUAACUGAGUUCACAUGCGCUUCCCGAGCAUUAUAGGAGAUUGAUGACAGACCCAAACUCGUCUACUAUUGAUUUUUAUCCCACUAGUAUUUUUUAUCGCUUAAUGUAUUCAUUUUUUUAAACGUAAUGGAAUUGUGUUUAUAUGGUUGUUAUGCUUGUAGAUUUUGAAGUGGACAUGAAUGGCAAGAGGUUUUCUUGACAGGGCAUUGCCAAAUUGCCUUUCAUUGAAGAAGCUCGGCUCCUUGCAGAGGUUGCAAAGGUUGAACAUACAUUGACGAUAAGGUUAUCUAUCCCUAUUACCCAAUUGAGCUCAAAGAGAUUAGUAUUUUAAUCGAUCAUGUAAUCAAAUUUUAAUUGAGCCAAAUUGCCUUCCAUUGGUAUUUGUAGAAUUUUAAAUUUUUUUU